rnacentral:rRNA from 1 species
UACGGGGGGAGCAAGCGUUGUUCGGAUUUACUGGGCGUAAAGGGCGCGUAGGCGGCCACCGCAAGUCGACUGUGAAAUCUCCGGGCUUAACCCGGAGCGGCCAAGUGAUACUGUCGUGCUAGAGUGCGGAAGGGGCUACUGGAAUUCUCGGUGUAGCGGUGAAAUGCGUAGAUAUCGAGAGGAACACCUGCGGCGAAGGCGGGUAGCUGGGCCGACACUGACGCUGAGGCGCGAAAGCCA